AGGUAGCCAGAUCUGCUCCCAAUGAUCCGUUGUCUUCUGAGUCAGAUGUGUCAUUUAAUUCCUUAAAGUCCAUGGCUUCCUCAAGGUCAAUGGCUUCUAUAAAGUCAUCAUCCCAGUCACUGUCUUCAGAAGAUGAUGAUGAAGGUGAUGCCUCAGUGGACAGGUGGUCUUCCAUAAGACAUCCAAUGGCUUCAUCCGAGUCAUUUUGACACAUUGGUGGUAGAUCUGGGUGAUCCUUCUGUGUGUUCAUUUUUUCCAUAUUAUUAAAAACACGUUUGGCAGCUCUCCAUGAUCUAAGAUAUUGUCUUGAUCUUUCUUUCUUUUCCUCACUCAUCAUGAAGAAUUCCUGAAAGAACAAUAUAUCUCCAUGUUUUCCUACAAUCUUUCUGUUCGAAAUUAUGAAUUUUUCAAAUUUACUCAAAUUGUAUUUUAUAUUUGUAUUUAUACAGAGGACUUUUAUUUUGCAUGUACUGUUCUACACCAAUAAUGAAAAUAAUUUUGUAAAAAGAAAUUCUCCUUAUUAAUGUGCUUCAUAUUCAUUUAUUUAUAGAAUUUAAUGUACAUGAACUGUUAUAUAAUACUAAAAUUAAAUUGUACUUUUAUAAAAUUUAUGAAUUUUACAGUAAUGAAGGCUUUGCCCCUCAAAUGCUUUUAAUGUAUUUAUUUAUACAGACUUCUUUUUUCCUUAGACUGCAUCUUGAGACUGUUUUAUCCCGCGUUUCGUCACAUCCGGCUCUGGCAGUUUGUUGUGGUUAAAAUACAAAUAAAGCUCGAAACCGCGUUUCGUCACAUCCGGUUCUAAAUAAAGUUGCUGCCCCCACCAUGUUCGCUGCAAGUUUGGUUGAAGAAUCGCAGCUAGUCUGCUGCAGUACCAGCUGUCAUCUCAUUCAAGAUACUUAUACCUGUCCUCAAGGUCUGCAUCACUUCAUCAGAAACACUUUGCACAAGUGGUACAUCUGUUCCUUCUCGUCCAUUACUCAUAGUUGUUUCUCAUGUGUUCUACUCAUAUUUGUUUGUUUAUGUGUUUGUUAACUUUGUUUUCCAGGGCAAGCUUUCCAUCACAUCGGAAAUUACCCACAUCAACCUCGUUUGCUCUCUCUUCAAAGCUUUGUCCAUAUUGCCAUGUAUUCGUAUUGCAGGAGUUGCAAAAUACAGUCACAUCUCAACUAUUAUUUUAUGAUGCUUUUUACAACUAGUCAGGAGGCACAGCGGCUUGGUGGUUAGCACUGUUGUGAGUCGGUUCAAGCCCCGGCUGCUGAGACAGGAGGUCUUUCGUGAAGUUGGCAUUUUCUCCUUCAGCGUGGGUUUACUUCAGGAGCUCCUGCAGCUAGAGAACAGGCUGGCUACAGUGACUAGAAAGGGACAGGGCAGAUCAUUAGAAGGUAUAUCCCAGUAUAGGGUAAAACCACAUCUGUACAAUGACCUUUAAACAGAGGUGUAAAGUGUCUUUGUUGUAUAUAAUAAUUUACAGACAUCAGGCUUUAUAUGAUGAUAGUCAAAUAUGGAGUUUACAAAUGUAGGGAUAAACAUGUGCAGCUACUUUUGCCAAGUAUAUGGCCAAUACAUAAGCUAAACUUUUGAUAGCUUGUUA